AACGAACGCUGGCGGCAGGCCUAAAACAUGCAAGUCGAACGAACCUUCGGGUUAGUGGCGCACGGGUGCGUAACGCGUGGGAAUGUGCCUCUGGGUGCGGAACAACGUCGGGAAACUGACGCUAAUACCGCAUAAUAUCUACGGAUCAAAGAUUUAUCGCCCAGAGAUCAGCCCGCGUCUGAUUAGGUAGUUGGUAGGGUGAUGGCCUACCAAGCCUACGAUCAGUAGCUGGUCUGAGAGGAUGAUCAGCCACACUGGAACUGAGACACGGUCCAGACUCCUACGGGAGGCAGCAGUUAGGAAUAUUGGACAAUGGGGGAAACCCUGAUCCAGCCAUGCCGCGUGUGUGAAGAAGGCCUUAGGGUUGUAAAGCACUUUCGUCUAUGAAGAUAAUGACAGUAGUAGAAGAAGAAGCUCCGGCUAAAUUCGUGCCAGCAGCCGCAGUAA
rnacentral:rRNA from 1 species